rnacentral:tRNA from 3 species
GGGUGCAUAGCUCAGCUGGAUAGAGCAACGCCCUUCUAAGGCGUGUGUCGAAGGUUCGAAUCCUUCUGCGCUCACCA